rnacentral:rRNA from 1 species
UUGGUAAUUUCUGAGGCUAAUACGUGGCAAAAACCCUCGGUACGUGGGCGGUAAAGCGGGGACAACCCCUCCCCCGGGCUUCGGCCUGGGGGCGGACCUCGCCGAUUCCUGCUGCCGUAGGGSGUGGGGAUCAUCUUAAAACCAAGCUCGGGAAACAAAAAAUAACGAUCGCGAAAGACCGCACSCCUUAACCCGCACCCCGUCCUCGGACGGUAACCGUGCUAGGCAUCCCAUGGGACGCAGGAGUGGGGUUCAAUAUCUUCCGGAAAUUUUGCACGGCUCUGUGCGGCGGGAACGGGAUUAAUUUCCCUGGUACCGCAGCAUAUCCCGGGCUCAAGGACUGGUCGGGAAGGUUCCCCGCGUAAUCCGGCACCCCGACGGCUUAACACGGGCGGGGGGGGGUCUGGGCUUCCAACCUAUCAACUAGAAUGCGGUAUAAUGGUCUGCAGUGGGACAACACGAC